CCUACGGGAGGCAGCAGUGAGGAAUAUUGGUCAAUGGCCGCAGGGCUGAACCAGCCAAGUCGCGUGAGGGAUGACGGUCCUAUGGAUUGUAAACCUCUUUUGUCAGGGAGCAAAGGGCGCCACGUGUGGCGUUUUGCGAGUACCUGAAGAAAAAGCAUCGGCUAACUCCGUGCCAGCAGCCGCGGUAAUUCGGAGGAUGCGAGCGUUAUCCGGAUUUAUUGGGUUUAAUGGGUGAGCAGGCGGAAUGUCGAGUCAGCGGUAAACGUUCGGGGCUAAACCUCGGCGUGCCGUGGAGACGGGCGUUCGUGAGUGAGCGAGAAGUAUGCGGAAUGCGUGGUGUAGCGGUGAAAUG
rnacentral:rRNA from 1 species